UGAAGACCGAGUCCAGCUGCGUCAUCUGGGGUGUGGGACGGACAGUGAGGCCUCGCUAAGGAUCACCCCAAAGCCCACCUCUCAUAGCCCUCGACCUGCCUGUGCAGUGGAGUCCCCUCAAGGAGACCGCGGUCCCGAGAAAGUGUGCAGGUUCCUGAGAGCCAAGUCGACCUCGUUCUGGCAGAGGAUGAGCUCUGAAACGUCCGAAAGAAAGGCCGUCUGUGGUGGAGGAAGAGGCUCAGGCCCUUCAGCUGGGCGGCCCGGAACUCGGCCGGCCGCGUGCGCCUUGAGACGAAGGCCUCCCGCAGCCGCUGCAGGGUGUCUGCGAAGGGGUCCAUCCUGCCGGGCGGGGGGCAACG